UGGGACUGAGAAACUGCCCAGACACCUACGGGUGGCUGCAGUCGAGAAUCUUCGUCAAUGGGGGAAACCCUGAACGAGCGACGCCGCGUGUGGGAUGAAGGCCUUUGGGUUGUAAACCACUGUCAGGGGGGAUGAAACCGCAAGGUUGACAGAGCCCCAGAGGAAGCACGGGCUAAGUUCGUGCCAGCAGCCGCGGUAAUA
rnacentral:rRNA from 14 species